UACGUAGGGAGCGAGCGUUGUCCGGAUUUACUGGGUGUAAAGGGGGCGCAGACGGCAAUGCAAGCCAGGAGUGAAAGCCCGGGGCCCAACCCCGGGACUGCUCUGGAAACUGCCAGGCUAGAGUGCUGGAGAGGUAAGUGGAAUUCCUAGUGUAGCGGUGAAAUGCGUAGAUAUUAGGAGGAACACCAGUGGCGAAGGCGGCUUACUGGACAGUGACUGACGUUGAGGCUCGAAAGCGUGGGGAGCAA
rnacentral:rRNA from 1 species